rnacentral:tRNA from 2 species
UGGGGCGUGGCCAAGUGGUAAGGCAACGGGUUUUGGUCCCAUUACUCGGAGGUUCGAAUCCUUCCGUCCCAGA